rnacentral:rRNA from 1 species
GAUGAACGCUGGCGGCGUGCUUAACACAUGCAAGUCGAACGGUGAAGCAGAGCUUGCUCUGUGGAUCAGUGGCGAACGGGUGAGUAACACGUGAGCAACCUGCCCCUGACUCUGGAUAAGCGCUGGAAACGGCGUCUAAUACUGGAUAUGAGCUGCGACCGCAUGGUCAGCAGUUGGAAAGAUUUUUCGGUCUGGGAUGGGCUCACGGCCUAUCAGCUUGUUGGUGAGGUAAUGGCUCACCAAGGCGUCGACGGGUAGCCGGCCUGAGAGGGUGACCGGCCACACUGGGACUGAGACACGGCCCAGACUCCUACGGGAGGCAGCAGUGGGGAAUAUUGCACAAUGGGCGAAAGCCUGAUGCAGCAACGCCGCGUGAGGGAUGACGGCCUUCGGGUUGUAAACCUCUUUUAGCAGGGAAGAAGCGAAAGUGACGGUACCUGCAGAAAAAGCGCCGGCUAACUACGUG